CACGGACCGCACGAACGUUAUUCGGUAUCACUGGGCUUAAAGGGUGCGUAGGCGGCUUUGCAAGUUGGGUGUGAAAGCCCUCGGCUCAACCGAGGAAUUGCGCUCAAUACUGCCGAGCUCGAGAGAGACAGAGGUAAGCGGGAACUAAUGGUGGAGCGGUGAAAUGUGUUGAUAUCAUUAGGAACACCGGGUGGCGAAGGCGGCUUACUGGGUCUUUCUGACGCUG
rnacentral:rRNA from 1 species